AACGAACGCUGGCGGCAGGCCUAACACAUGCAAGUCGAACGCCCUAGCAAUAGGGAGUGGCAGACGGGUGAGUAACGCGUGGGAAUAUCCCCCUCAGUACGGAAUAGCCCAGGGAAACUUGGAGUAAUACCGUAUACGUCCGUGAGGAGAAAGAUUUAUCGCUGAGGGAUUAGCCCGCGUAGGAUUAGCUAGUUGGUGAGGUAAUGGCUCACCAAGGCGACGAUCCUUAGCUGGUCUGAGAGGACGAUCAGCCACACUGGGACUGAGACACGGCCCAGACUCCUACGGGAGGCAGCAGUGGGGAAUAUUGGACAAUGGGCGCAAGCCUGAUCCAGCCAUGCCGCGUGAGUGACGAAGGCCUUAGGGUUGUAAAGCUCUUUUGGCGGGGACGAUAAUGACGGUACCCGCAGAAUAAGCCCCGGCUAACUUCGUGCCAGCCGCCGCCGUAAAAC
rnacentral:rRNA from 1 species